GACGAACGCUGGCGGCGUGCUUAACACAUGCAAGUCGAACGGAAAGGCCCUGCUUUUGUGGGGUGCUCGAGUGGCGAACGGGUGAGUAACACGUGAGUAACCUGCCCUUGACUGUGGGAUAACUUCAGGAAACUGGGGAUAAUACCGGAUAGGAGCUCCUGCUGCAUGGUGGGGGUUGGAAAGUGUCGGCUGUGGGGGCUGGAUUCGCGGCUUAUCAGCUAGAUGGUGUGGUAGUGGCUGACCAAGGCUGUGACGGGUAGCCGGCCUGAGAGGGUGACCGGCCACAUUGGGACUGAGAUACGGCCCAGACUCCAACGGGCGGCAGUGGGGGGGAGUAUUGCGCAAUGGGCGGACGUGUGAGGCAGCGGCGCCGCGUGCGGGAUGACGGCCUUCGGGUUGUAAACCGAUGUCGCCUGUGAUGAAGAGUGCGUGACGGUAAUGGGUAAAGAAGCACCGGCUAACUACGUG
rnacentral:rRNA from 1 species